rnacentral:rRNA from 1 species
CGGCGGACGGGUGAGUAACGCGUGGAUAACCUACCUAUAAGACUGGGAUAACUUCGGGAAACCGGAGCUAAUACCGGAUAAUAUAUUGAACCGCAUGGUUCAAUAGUGAAAGACGGUUUUGCUGUCACUUAUAGAUGGAUCCGCGCCGCAUUAGCUAGUUGGUAAGGUAACGGCUUACCAAGGCAACGAUGCGUAGCCGACCUGAGAGGGUGAUCGGCCACACUGGAACUGAGACACGGUCCAG